rnacentral:misc_RNA from 1 species
AAGUCGUAACAAGGUUUCCGUAGGUGAACCUGCGGAAGGAUCAUUAAAAAUUUAUAUCCGGGAAUUCGAUUCUUUCGUUUUCCCGGAUGAUUUGUAUUCAAAUCCCACUCUUUAUAAAUAUAUUAAUUAUAUAAAACAAAAAUAAAAAAGAAAACUUUCAACAACGGAUCUCUUGGCUCUC